rnacentral:rRNA from 1 species
GCCAGCAGUCGCGGUAACACAAGUAAGACGAGUGUUAUUCAUCUUUAUUAGGUUUAAAGGGUACCUAGACAGUAUAUUUAGCCAAUAAAGGGUACUAAUAUGCUAGAGUUUUAUGGGAGAGUGAAUGUAUGUGAGUAUUGUUAGAGUAGAGAUGAAAUCCGUUGAUACUAAUAAGACUGAUAAAGGUGAAAACUAAGCUCUAUGUUAAAACUGACGUUGAGGGACGAAGGCUCGGCAUCGCGAAUAGGAUUAGAUACCCUAGUAGUCCGAGCAGAAAAUUAUGAGUGCCAUAUAUUAAAAAGAAAAAAACAUUUAAUAUAGCUUUUAAACUAUAUUAAAUGUAUUUAUGUUGAAUAUAUAAAUGAAAGUGUAAGCAUUCCACCUCAAGAGUAAUGUGGCAACGCAGAAACUGAAAUCAUUAGACCGUUUCUGAAACCAGUAGUGAAGUAUGAUAUUUAAUUCGAUAACCCUCGAAAAACCUUACCAAAAUUUGAAUAUAAUGAUAUUAAGUUAUCUUAGUGCAUUUGAUUAUUAAUCAAGUAAUUAAAGUAUUGGCUAUUACAAGCGUUGCACGGCUGUCUUCAGUUAAUAUCGUGAGAAUUGGUUAAAUUCAUUAAUUAGCGUAUAACCCAUUUUUUAUUUAUUUAAAUAAUUAAGUUCCCCGC